GAUGAACGCUAGCGGCAGGCUUAACACAUGCAAGUCGAGGGGCAGCACUGGUAGCAAUACCUGGUGGCGACCGGCAAACGGGUGCGGAACACGUACAGAACCUACCUUGAUCUGGGGCAUAGCCCGAAGAAAUUCGGAUUAACUCCCCAUAAUAUAAUUGGAUGGCAUCAUUUGGUUAUUAAAAAUUUAAUUGGAUCGAGAUGGCUGUGCGUCCCAUUAGCUAGUUGGAGGGUAACGGCCUACCAAGGCGACGAUGGUAGGCUGGUGUGAGAGCACGACCAGCCACACGGGCACUGAGACACGGGCCCGACUCCUACGGGAGGCAGCAGUGAGGAAUAUUGGUCAAUGGACGCAAGUCUGAACCAANCCAUGCCGCGUGAAGGAUGAAGG
rnacentral:rRNA from 1 species